rnacentral:rRNA from 1 species
UACGGAGGGGGCGAGCGUUAUUCGGAAUUAUUGGGCGUAAAGGGCGCGUAGGCGGCUGUACAAGUCAAAGGUGAAAUCCCUCGGCUCAACUGAGGAACUGCCUUUGAAACUGUACGGCUUGAGGCCGGGAGGGGGUAGCGGAAUUCCCAGUGUAGCGGUGAAAUGCGUAGAUACUGGGAGGAACACCAGUGGCGAAGGCGGCUACCUGGACCAGUUCUGACGCUGAGGCGCGAAAGCGUGGGUAGCAAACAGG